ncrna:Nicotiana tabacum cultivar TN90 Ntab-TN90_scaffold792, whole genome shotgun sequence
GUUCCCUAUGAUGAUAUAAGAUUGACCAUGCUAAUUCCGAAAUUUGUUUCUGAAGAGAAUUUAUGUUAUGAUUAUCUGAGGGAGCA